AUAUUGCACAAUGGGGGAAACCCUGAUGCAGCAACGCCGCGUGAAGGAAGACGGUUUUCGGAUUGUAAACUUCUAUCGAUGGGGAAGAAAUAAAUGACGGUACCCAAAUAAGAAGCCCCGGCUAACUACGUGCCAGCAGCCGCGGUAAUACGUAGGUGGCGAGCGUUGUCCGGAUUUACUGGGUGUAAAGGGCGUGUAGGCGGGCAUACAAGUCAGAUGUGAAAUACCGGGGCUCAACCCCGGGGCUGCAUUUGAAACUGUAUAUCUUGAGUGUCGGAGAGGAAAGCGGAAUUCCUAGUGUAGCGGUGAAAUGCGUAGAUAUUAGGAGGAACACCAGUGGCGAAGGCGGCUUUCUGGACGAUAACUGACGCUGAGGCGCAAAAGCGUGGGGAGCAAACA
rnacentral:rRNA from 1 species